AAUUUAUGAAGUUUAGUAAUAAAUAUAUAUUUAACGUAAUUUAUUUUUAUACGUUCUAAAUAUUUCAACGAUUUAUGAAAUCAAAAAAAUAAUUUUAGAAUUUUAUGUUGAAAAGAAUUUGAAUUGCGAAAACACGUUCGAUUGAAUUUGGAAAACAAUAUUAACUGGUUUUGGAUUCAAACAAACUCAAUUCUAAUCCUAGCCCAAAUUGACAAAGCCCAAAACAAGAAAACCCAUAUUAUCAACCCAUAAUUCAACUUCACGUAAAAUCAAGAAAGCCAAAAACCCUCUUCUCUCCUCUCCUCCAAUUCACGUGAAAAGCAAGCAAACUCUCUCUCUGCUUCAGCCACCGCCGCCCUCCUUGCUGUUGUCCCUCACGCCGCCGGCCAACCACCUCAGACGCUCCUCCUCCGUCGCGUGCAACCUUCCUCGCCGCCACCUGCACCCCGUCGCUGCCGCCAACCAACCAGCACCGGUCGUUGGCCCCUUCCCUUCUCCUUCGCGAAGCAUCAACACUCCUCCUUUUCUUUCUCCUCUGCGUGCGUUUCCUCCUGCUUGCACCACCAGCCACCUUCGGUCACCCUGCUGCGCCACCACCCAUCGCCGCGCUGCCACUGUGGCAUCGCCGUGCUGCUGCACCAACCGCCGUCAGCUCUUCCUCCCUUCACUUUUUGGCGGAGAAUUCUCUUUAGGCGACUUUUGAAAGUGUUAAAGUGGCCUAUUAGUUGUUUAUGCAAGUCUCUAAGGAUCAAUAAGCGUUGCCCAUCUACAGGUUUGAAGAUGAUGCACCAUUGGGAUCGGGAUUAGAGAGCUUGUUGUUCUAUUUGUUUACUUGAGUGAUUUAAUUUGUUAACUUGGAUUUGAAAUUUGUCGUACUAUUCGUAUUUCCUUAUUUCAGUUAAUUGGUUUGGACCUAAUAUGUAAUAGAUUAUUUAUGAACCUAAAAGUUAGUUUUAUGUUUUCCGCUGCAAAAUUCUGAAUAAGCCGUUACGUUUUUACA